UAUGACCAUAUCACAUUGAAACAUUACUUCUCCUAUGAUCAUCAAAGUUAAGCAGUGUUGUGCCUGGUCAGUACCUAGAUGGGUGACCACUUGGGAAUACCACAUGCUGUAAG